AGCUUUGCGCAGUGGCAGUAUCGUAGCCAAUGAGGUUUAUCAGAGGCGCAGUUAAUGCUAAUUGAAAACGUUUUAUGUGCAGGGAGUAGGGAGCCAAGGAUGAACAAUGUAGCCCUGGAUCCUGUCUUCAGAAACCCUCAAGAUGGGGAGAUAAACAGUUAAGGCAAUUUUAUUAAAAUUUUAUUUAAAA
rnacentral:snRNA from 13 species